GAAAACUUAGGGCAAGCGGCGGCGGUAAGACAGAGGGUGCAAGCGUUAAUCGGAAUGACUGGGCGUAAAGCGAGCGGAGGUGGUUUGUUAAGUUGGAUGGGAAAGCCCCGGGCUCAACCUGGGAACUGCAUCCAAAACUGGCAAGCUAGAGUACGGUAGAGGGUGGUGGAAUUUCCUGUGUAGCGGUGAAAUGCGUAGAUAGAGGAAGGAACACCAGUGGCGAAGGCGGCUCACUGGCUCGAUACUGACGCUGAGGUGCGAAAGCGUGGGGAGCAAACAGGAUUAGAUACCCCUGUAGUC
rnacentral:rRNA from 1 species